AUGGGGUCAGCUGCUCCUCUCCUGCUGUGGGUACUGCUGCUCUGGGUUUCAGGUUCCACUGGGGACAUUGUGAUGACUCAGUCUCCAGCUUCUUUGGCUGUAUCUCUAGGGCAAAGUGCCACUAUCUCCUGCAGGUCCAGCCAGGGUAUCAUUACAGCCGGUAUUCAUCUUAUGAACUGGUAUCAACAGAAACUGGGACAGUCCCCCAAACUCUUUAUUUAUGAUGCAUCUAAGGUAGCAUCUGGAGUCCCUGCCAGGUUCAGCGGCAGUGGGUCUGGGACAGACUUCACACUCACCAUUAAUCCUGUGGAGGAUGAUGAUGUUGCAACCUAUUACUGUCAGCAAGGUCUAGAACUUCCUCUCACAGUGCUCCAGGGCUAA